rnacentral:rRNA from 1 species
AAGGAACCCACCCGGGAUUCCCUUAGUAACGGGGAGUGAAGCGGCAAAAGCUCAAAUUUGAAAUCUGGUACCUUCGGGUGCCCGAGUUUGUAAUUUGGAGAGGGCAACUUUGGGGCCGUUCCUUGUCUAUGUUCCUUGGAACAGGACGUCAUAGAGGGUGAGAAUCCCGUGUGGCGAGGAGUGCGGUUCUUUGUAAAGUGCCUUCGAAGAGUCGAGUUGUUUGGGAAUGCAGCUCUAAGUGGGUGGUAAAUUCCAUCUAAAGCUAAAUAUUGGCGAGAGACCGAUAGCGAACAAGUACAGUGAUGGAAAGAUGAAAAGAACUUUGAAAAGAGAGUGAAAAAGUACGUGAAAUUGUUGAAAGGGAAGGGCAUUUGAUCAGACAUGGUGUUUUGUGCCCUCUGCUCCUUGUGGGUAGGGGAAUCUCGCAUUUCAGCUGGGCCAGCAUCGAGUUUUGGUGGCAGGAUAAAUCCAUAGGAAUGUAGCUUGCCUCCGGUAAAAUAAGUAUUACUACCCGAAAACUGUGGGAAUAGGGC